GACGGUAUAGCUCAGUGGUAGAAUGCAUACCUAGUAUGCAUGAGGUCCUGGGUUCAAUCCCCAGUACCUCCA
rnacentral:tRNA from 1 species